GGCCACUCCCAGCUGCCCCACAACGAUGCUGCACGGACAGAAGCAGCAGGCACCUCAUGGGCGUUUGCUAAGACUUUGUUCCCUCUUAACCUUGGUCCCUUUCAGCAGAGCAAGGGGAGGAAGAGCUGCAUUUGGUGUCAGGAGACUAGAGUUCAUGUUCAUGUUCAUCUUUAAUCUGGUCCCAACAAACACCACCUCCUCCCUGAAGCCCACCAGCCCCUCCUGAUGCCCCUCGGGGCUCCCAUGAGUGGCAUGCUGGGGCUGGCUCGGAUUAGCCAGGAGAGCUGAUGACACACAUCUCCUCCCAAUCACACUUCGAGUUGUCAGGUCCUGCCUGGCAGCCUGGCCUCCUGGGAGAGAUGGGCCCAGGCAGUUCCAGGCCAGGGUGGGGAUGCCCCCUGGGGCUCCAAGAGCGAGGGCUGGCUCAAUCCGACUCUCUGCCUCCUUGACCCUGCUUCCUGGUCUUGAAAACAAAUGCCUGUGAAGGUGAGCACGCUGAUAGGGAAGACAGUCUAGGUUCUUGUUUUGUUUUGUUUUGUUUUUUUAAGUAGGAGCUGCAUGCAACCUGUUAGCACUGAGGUCUAGCUCCUGUCCAAAGCUGGUGUUCGGUUAGGCACCUUCAAAUGUGGCUAAGAUGUAUUUUCUUAGCUUUUAAUUCACAUUUGAACAGACUCUCUGGGAAGUCAACAAGGGGCGCCUGGGUGGCUCAGUUGGUUAAAUGUCUGCCCCAGAGCCCUGGGAUGG